rnacentral:rRNA from 1 species
UACGUAGGUGGCAAGCGUUGUCCGGAUUUACUGGGCGUAAAGAGCGCGCAGGCGGUCGUUCAAGUCGCGUGUGAAAGCCCCCGGCUCAACUGGGGAGGGUCACGCGAUACUGAUCGACUCGAAGGCAGGAGAGGGUAGUGGAAUUCCCGGUGUAGUGGUGAAAUGCGUAGAUAUCAGGAGGAACACCUGUGGUGUAGACAGCUUACUGGACGGUGACUGACGCUGAGGCACGAAAGCGUGGGUAGCAAACAGG